AGGUUUGUCGCAUCGGGCGCAGCCUGACGACGCGACGCCGCGUGGGGGAUGAAGUCUUCGGUCGUAAACUCCUGUCGAGCGGGACGAAAAGCUCCGAGCUAACACGUCCAGUGGUGACGGGGUCCCGUGAGGAAGCCCCCGUAAUAACUCUAAACAGACCCCGGUAUAAAA
rnacentral:rRNA from 1 species